GUUUAGCGAUCUGGGUGGGGUUUCUGAUUACAUUUUGUUGGUGCUAGUGUGGUGGUGUCGCGCUGUUUUGACGAUCAUUUAAACUGUUGAUGGAUACCCUGUAGACCUUGUCUGAAGGAUACCCGCCAUCUGCUAUCUGAGAUGGCCCUUGUCUGAAGGAUAUCCGCCUUUUGCCUGUGUCCUAGCUCAUUUGGUAAUUAAACUUCUAAUGGUUGGUUUGGAUGACGAGAGAAAAAUAACGGGAACCGCUGUUGUAAUUGAUUCGAGGAUUGUUUUACCAGAACUGAAGUCUUGUAUAGUGGUCAUUGGGCCAGAGAUAUAUCGGCAUGCUAAAGAAUCUCAAGCUUUCAUAUAAGCUUCAACUCAAGACACGAGGUAAUGGAAAUUUUAAAGUGAUACGUGGAAGUAAUUUAUUGUUCGAUUAAAGAAUGAACUGCUAA